UGACUGCACCUCGGUCGGCUUACGCUUUAUAAUUACGAUGCCUCCUUGUUCAAGGAUCAAACUCACUCUUCGAUACACUGAAAACUAGAAAUUAAGAUUACUGACGUGUAAAUUAACAAAAAGUGAAUAUUGUUAUGAUUAAUUAGUGCAAAAUAUUAUACGCUUUUCAUUGGUAGCACAUUUUAAAACAUUAUAAAUUGAGAAUGACUAUUCGUAAUAGUCAAUAAAAAUAUCAGCAACACACCAAAUGACGUUGAUUUUUUCGCUGUACAUGUCAAAGUGACGCGUACGAGUAUUUUGUUCAUAAUAUAGCACUGCAUUCUCAUAGUCAAAGGACCUUGUUGUGCGUAUGAAUUGAAUUCAACGUUUCACUGUGUGAAUAACUAUUUCCGUGCUUCCUGCGUGUGUCGGGACAGACUUCAUGUGAGGAACAGCAGCCAAUAAUGGGACAUUGGUACUUUAAAUUCUGCCCCGGGUCAUUCAAAGCGCACAGCCACGCGCUGCACUACACCUACUGAAGAAAGAGGAAGAGAGCUGAUGGAAUCUAAAGACCAAUGUAAAGAUAAUUUUGGCUGUCGCUCCGGUGAUAAGGUGGCACUGGUGGUCUGGAGGGAGACGGAGAGGAACGAGGGCUGACCUUCCCAGACGGAGAGUGUGAGCUCAGCCACUGUCCUCCACAACGUCUAGAAGACUGCUUCACGUCGCCUUUGAGACACUGUGGGAAGCAUUCCUGUAUAAGGGUGAUUGUGUGCGUGUGUGUGUUCUUUUUAAAGGUGGAAGUGAUGAGAAGACACCUGAAGAUGCUGGUGAGAAUGGAAAAGUGAAAAAAGAAAAAAAAAAAAAAACACUUUGCUUUGCAUAAAAAAUCUCUCUGCUUGUUUGACUUGUUUACAAUAAAGAUCACCAUGAUGACAAAA